UCCACGCCCUAAACGAUGAAUGCUAGUCGUCGGGGAGCUCGUCUCUUCGGUGAUGCACUUAACAGAUUAAGCAUUCCGCCUGGGGAGUACGGUCGCAAGAUUAAAACUCAAAGGAAUAGACGGGGACCCGCACAAGUGGUGGAGCAUGUGGUUUAAUUCGAAGAUACACGAAGAACCUUACCUGGCCUUGACAUGGUAGGAACCCUUAAGAGAUUAGGGGGUGCUAGCUUGCUAGAACCUACACACAGGUGCUGCACGGCUGUCGUCAGCUCGUGUCGUGAGAUGUUGGGUUAAGUC
rnacentral:rRNA from 1 species